UAUUAAUGCUCCCCUCACCUUCAUUCCCCAGCACAACUUAUUUUCAUGGUUUUAAGGACUAUCUAUUCAUAUAGUUCUUUAGAAAAUAUGGGCACAAUUUUUCUGAAAGAGGUACUUUGACCCCUGUUCUAAGCCUUAGCCUAACAGGAUGAACUGGAGUUUCAGCUACCCAGGCCUACUGGAAAUUUGGCCCAGCAGUUAUUUGGCAGUGGCCUUCAUGAGCAGCAAUGCCAGCUUCCCAUUGCAAUGCCCACAUUCAGAGAUUUGCAGAAUUAGAGUCCAAAUUCUGCUUUGCAAGCCCAGAAUGCCACUGACUUCAAGGGGAUUGUAGGAUUUUAGCCAAGAGCAGAAAUUGGCCCAGGAUUUUUUCAGACUCCCUCAUGCUUCUGUUUAUAGGAUAUUACCAUCAAGCUCUAUUAGCAUGCUCCAUGAUGCAUUUUACUUUUAAAUUACAUAAAGGAUAUUUACUGUGCUGAUGCUACAUAGUUUGCAAGAAAGAUGCACAUGUGGAAAUGAAAAAACAUCAAUUACCAUCAGGAUUUCCAGCUUUCAGCAUUCAUUUUCCAAAACAACCUAGGGACUAUUUCUCAUUAAAAAAAAAAAAAGAGCAGAAAUGAAAAUCCAAUUUCUUGGCAUUUAUGUAUUGCAUUCUGGAGCCUUACUCAUCAAGCCUGUUGUGAAAAUGGUUGGAAUAAAAAAGCCUCGUAUUGUUCAAAACUUUAA